UACGGAGGGUGCAAGCGUUAUCCGGAUUCACUGGGUUUAAAGGGUGCGUAGGUGGGCAUGUAAGUCAGUGGUGAAAUCUCCGGGCUUAACUCGGAAACUGCCAUUGAUACUAUCUGUCUUGAAUACCGUGGAGGUCAGCGGAAUAUGUCAUGUAGCGGUGAAAUGCUUAGAUAUGACAUAGAACACCAAUUGCGAAGGCAGCUGGCUACACGAAUAUUGACACUGAUGCGCGAAAGCGUGGGGAUCAAACAGG
rnacentral:rRNA from 1 species